AUUGAACGCUGGCGGCAGGCCUAACACAUGCAAGUCGAGCGGAUGAAGGGAGCUUGCUCCUGGAUUCAGCGGCGGACGGGUGAGUAAUGCCUAGGAAUCUGCCUGGUAGUGGGGGAUAACGUCCGGAAACGGGCGCUAAUACCGCAUACGUCCUGAGGGAGAAAGUGGGGGAUCUUCGGACCUCACGCUAUCAGAUGAGCCCAGGUCGGAUUAGCUAGUUGGUGGGGUAAAGGCCUACCAAGGCGACGAUCCGUAACUGGUCUGAGAGGAUGAUCAGUCACACUGGAACUGAGACACGGUCCAGACUCCUACGGGAGGCAGCAGUGGGGAAUAUUGGACAAUGGGCGAAAGCCUGGUCCAGCCAUGCCGCGUGUGUGAAGAAGGUCUUCGGAUUGUAAAGCACUUUAAGUUGGGAGGAAGGGCAGUAAGUUAAUACCUUGCUGUUUUGACGUUACCAACAGAAUAAGCACCGGCUAACUUCGUG
rnacentral:rRNA from 1 species